UACGGAGGGUGCGAGCGUUGUCCGGAAUCACUGGGCGUAAAGGGCGCGUAGGUGGCUUUUCAAGCGCGCGGUGAAAGCCCGGGGCUCAACCCCGGGUCGGCCGUGCGGACUGGGAGGCUCGAGCACUGUAGGGGCGGGUGGAAUUCCGGGUGUAGCGGUGGAAUGCGUAGAGAUCGAGAGGAACACCAGUGGCGAAGGCGAGUUCCUGGACAAGUCCUGACACUGAGGCACGAAAGCCGGGGGAGCAAACAGG
rnacentral:rRNA from 1 species